rnacentral:rRNA from 1 species
UUUUUAGAGAGUUUGAUCCUGGCUCAGGACGAACGCUGGCGGCGUGCCUAACACAUGCAAGUCGAACGGAGUUGAAAGGAGCUUGCUUUUUUCAACUCAGUGGCGGACGGGUGAGUAACGCGUGAGUAACCUGCCUUUCAGAGGGGGAUAACGUUCUGAAAAGAACGCUAAUACCGCAUAAGAUUGUAGUUUCGCAUGGAGCAGCAAUCAAAGGAGCAAUCCGCUGAAAGAUGGACUCGCGUCCGAUUAGAUAGUUGGCGGGGUAACGGCCCACCAAGUCGACGAUCGGUAGCCGGACUGAGAGGUUGAUCGGCCACAUUGGGACUGAGACACGGCCCAGACUCCUACGGGAGGCAGCAGUGAGGGAUAUUGGGCAAUGGGGGAAACCCUGACCCAGCAACGCCGCGUGAGGGAUGACGGUUUUCGGAUUGUAAACCUCUGUCCUCUGUGAAGAUAGUGACGGUAGCAGAGGAGGAAGCUCCGGCUAACUACGUGCCAGCAGCCGCGGUAAUACGUAGGGAGCAAGCGUUGUCCGGAUUUACUGGGUGUAAAGGGUGCGUAGGCGGAUUGGCAAGUCAGAAGUGAAAUCCAUGGGCUUAACCCAUGAACUGCUUUUGAAACUGUUAGUCUUGAGUGAAGUAGAGGUAGGCGGAAUUCCCGGUGUAGCGGUGAAAUGCGUAGAGAUCGGGAGGAACACCAGUGGCGAAGGCGGCCUACUGGGCUUUAACUGACGCUGAGGCACGAAAGUGUGGGUAGCAAACAGGAUUAGAUACCCUGGUAGUCCACACUGUAAACGAUGAUUACUAGGUGUGGGGGGUCUAACCCCCUCCGUGCCGGAGUUAACACAAUAAGUAAUCCACCUGGGGAGUACGACCGCAAGGUUGAAACUCAAAGGAAUUGACGGGGGCCCGCACAAGCAGUGGAGUAUGUGGUUUAAUUCGACGCAACGCGAAGAACCUUACCAGGUCUUGACAUCCAACUAACGAAGCAGAGAUGCAUUAGGUGCCCUUCGGGGAAAGUUGAGACAGGUGGUGCAUGGUUGUCGUCAGCUCGUGUCGUGAGAUGUUGGGUUAAGUCCCGCAACGAGCGCAACCCUUGUGAUUAGUUGCUACGCAAGAGCACUCUAAUCAGACUGCCGUUGACAAAACGGAGGAAGGUGGGGACGACGUCAAAUCAUCAUGCCCUUUAUGACCUGGGCUACACACGUACUACAAUGGUCGUUAACAGAGGGAAGCAAUACCGCGAGGUGGAGCAAAACCCUAAAAACGGUCUCAGUUCAGAUUGUAGGCUGCAACUCGCCUACAUGAAGUUGGAAUUGCUAGUAAUCGCGGAUCAGCAUGCCGCGGUGAAUACGUUCCCGGGCCUUGUACACACCGCCCGUCACACCAUGGGAGCCGGUAAUACCCGAAGUCAGUAGUUUAACCGUAAGGAGAACGCUGCCGAAGGUAGGAUUGGCGACUGGGGUGAAGUCGUAACAAGGUAGCCGUAUCGGAAGGUGCGGCUGGAUCACCUCCUUU